rnacentral:snRNA from 1 species
GUGCUCAGCACAUAUCCUAAAGUUGGAAUGAUAUAGAGAAGAUUAGAAUGCCCCUGCACAAGGAUGAUGCGCAAAUUCAUGAAGCAUUCCAUAUUUUU